AAUCCCAAGUGUUGGAAGGGACCUCAAAAGAUCAUUUAGUCCAACCUCCCUGCAAGAGCAGAGUAACCUGGGGCAAACUGCUGAAGGGAAGCAAUGAUUUGAAGUUCAAGGCAAAGGAUUAAAAGCCAUAAGAUUAUCUUUCUGUGCCUGCCUUCCUGCUUCCAUCACUUACACGACAAGAAGUAUGGCCUUUCUGCUAUUCCUGACUGGUCUCAAAAACUGUGAUACCAAAGUUCCUCUGAUGAUGGGUAUUUCCAAAAUGAUCCAAAUGUAGCCCCAGAAGGAGUCAGGACAAAGGAGGAGUUUGCUUUGGUAGAUGAGGAUUGGGUUAGGGAUCAGCUAUGCAAUCUGGACAUCUAUAAAUCAAUGGGUCUGGAUGGAAGGUACCCACGGGUGCUGAGGGAGCUGGCGGUAGUCAUUGCUAGGCCACUCUCCAUCAUCUUUGAAAAUUCAAAUCAUGGGACCAGAUUACACACCUGGCAAGAAAGAAGAUCAUUACCUAACGUCCAUUCAAAGGUAGAUGGAAAUAGAGUAUUUCCUUUGAAGAGCAAUACAUGCCAAAGCAAAUAUUUGCAUUUAGGUUUUGGAAUCCCAAUGAAAUUUAAAUACUAUUUCUUUGUAAGAGUCUUCUCUUCCUGUUUAAUAAAAUCAGUAAUCCAGAGGGAUUAUAGGCAAAUAAUAGGCAAUUUUGCUUUGUGUGAAAAAGCUUACCAUUUUGGAAAUACUGGGGAUGAACAAGUAUUCAACAACAGUUGCUCAUCCUCUGUUUUUUUUUAGAAACAUUCUGAUGUUUGUAUAGGAAUAUCCUGAGAAAAAACCACAAUCACUGCAGCAGCUGGCACUGGGUUUUUGAGCAGUACUUUUUGUUCUUUUUUUAAGCUACUUCAGUAGGAACUGUUUAGUGUGAGAGUACCCAGUUUUGUUGGUGAGGAGAUUCCUUCUGGAGCAUUUCUGGAAACCAUGUAUAGAUGAUAAUUUGUUAAAUUUUGAAUACUUGGGGCUGAGCUCUUUUGCAAUCUGACAUUUUUCUGUUUUAGCCUGUGUAUAUUUCUGUUAAUAAAUUCUUAAUAGGUUUACUCCCUACUAUUUCUUCUUCUAGUGCGAUAUUGAAGAGUCUUGUGAACACAUGAGACAAGGAGGGGGCACAAAAUUACAGAAUGGAAUAUAUAAACCUUUAGAAUCAGUUUUAAGAAAUGUUAAGUUUGAUGGCUUUGUAACAGUAGCAAUGGAAAAUUACUGAGAUGAAUGAUACAUAGGAAAAAUAAAUAGAGUACAGCUAGAGAACAUACUGAGAAUUCUUGUACAAGACACAUUGUUAUAGUUGACAUAGUUUUAAGAAAAACAGAAGAACAGGAUGCAAGGAUAAAGAGUAUCUGGGAAUGGCAGGUGUCCAGGAUGGGCUACAGUUAAACAAACUGACAAGUAGGAGGAUAGGAGGAUUAUUAUGUCUGUGGUGCUAAUGAACCAGUUAAGCUGUUAUAAGCAUCUGCUGGGUGCGCUUCAGAGGCUGCCAGAAGUGAUGAAGAUUGUUGGAAGAAGCAAAUGACCCUCAGAGACCACCACCACAAUUCUGUAUGCAUGUCUGGAACUUUCUGGAAAAUAAUGUAAUCCAUAUGUAACCUCAUGAAUACGUAUGUAUACCCAGGAACUAUAUAAGGACGGCUUGUGUAGCAAUACAAGGACACACUUUAGGAGGAGCUAUCCCCCGUGUCUCCCGGCACCACAAUAAAGAAUGCCUGCUUAUCAGCUUGAAAUCUUUGUUGGCAAGUUUGUUCCUGGAGUUUUCUCCGAAUCGCGCAUCAUUGCUGGAGCAAGGGCUCUGCAUCUAGAAGUCUGCCUUAAAGAUCUGGAAGAAGAUCAUGCUUGUAUUCCAGUGAAGUUACUCAAGAAUUUUUGUGGACCACAGUUUAUAGAACAUGACUAAGUAUUAACCUUUCAAAAUAUCAUCUUAAUAUGCUGUUGCUGGUUUCCUUAGAGAAUCUUCUUAAAGCAAUUUGAAACCUUUUAGGAGUCUGACCAAUUAAAUAAUAUAAGACCUUAGAAUUGAGGCAGAUAUGUCAAGAAGACCCAGUGAAGGCAAAAAAAUAACUUG
ensembl:lncRNA